GACGGAAGGUGCAAGCGUUGCUCGGAAUUACUGGGCGUAAAGGGCUCGUAGGCGGCCAACUAAGUCAGACGUGAAAUCCCUCGGCUUAACCGGGGAACUACGUCUGAUACUGGAUGGCUUGAGUUCGGGAGAGGGAUGCGGAAUUCCAGGUGUAGCGGUGAAAUGCGUAGAUAUCUGGAGGAACACCGGUGGCGAAGGCGGCAUCCUGGACCGACACUGACGCUGAGGAGCGAAAGCCAGGGGAGCAAACGGG
rnacentral:rRNA from 1 species